rnacentral:misc_RNA from 1 species
AUGUCACUUUGGUGCGCGGGUAAAACAAGUUCGAAUAGAAGUAGGCAAUGUGGUUAUGUUUAAUUAUCGUGUGUUAUCCUGAAGUACAUUUGAAGUGCUGUUAAUAGAGCAAUAAUAAAGAAUGAGACGCUCGGCCGCACCGUCUGUAAAAUACAGUGUGGGUGGAGCGGCAGGUAACGUGAACAAAGCGGAUUUUCCCCAAGCUUCUGUUAGAAACUUGGGAUCAGAUUUCCCAAAUAAAUCACGUGAUACUGAUUCACUUCUGGACCUUAUUUUUGCAAAAAAUAAGGCAGCAGAUACUGAACAAAGGCAUUGUGUUUCUGGUAGUGGCACACUGCCAGAAGAGAGCUGUAAUGUGAAAUCAGGUGUCCUGGGGCACGUGAAAAUUUCACAAGAAGCAAUACAAGGAGAAAAUAAAGAUGCUGUCUUAGUAAAUGACCCUGAGAAAAGGGUAUUCAAUGUCGUUUGGGCAAAACAGUCAACACGAAAGCACAAAGUUUGGGAGGGUGAUGGUGUUCUGGAAGUGGAAGGGAAGACAGUUAUUUUAAAGGAUGUUGGUGGAAAAAUUCUAGGCCAGUCUUCAAAUGUAAAGGUGUCCUCAUUUGAAGAUGGUACACGUUUGCUUCUUGGUGGAAAAGAGGCUGAGAUUGUGGAUGAAGUGAAAAUAACUGACUCUAUCAGUGUGUCCAGUAAAAGAACGCCAGACAGGCAGAGUGAUCAAAAGCCUACAAAAAAAGCAAGAAAAGACAUACCUAUUCUGCAUAAAAAACCCUCAAAUUUUUGUGGUCAAAAUUAUAGGCCCUUGGUUAUGCCAAGUCCCCCAGAUGAGCAUCGGUGGAAGAUGAAUCCAGAACAUUUGCCUCUUGUGGAGGUAGUAAUUGAUCCAUGUCUUGCCAAAGUCCUUCGCCCUCAUCAAAGAACUGGCAUAAUAUUUUUGUAUGAAUGUAUGCUUGAAAUGAGACAACCGAACUAUUCUGGAGCAAUAUUGGCAGAUGAGAUGGGACUGGGGAAGACACUACAGUGUGUUACACUUGUUUGGACAUUGUUAAAGCAAGGCCCAUAUGGUGGAAGGCCUAUUAUUCGGAAUGCUUUGAUUGUAACACCAAGCAGUUUAGUUGGGAAUUGGGAAAAGGAAUUCCAACAAUGGUUAGGAAGAGGAAAAAUCCAUACAUUUAUUGUUAAUCAGAAGAAUAAACCAGCUGAUUUCAAAAAUAAUGCAAAUGCUAAUGUUAUGCUAAUUUCUUAUGAAAUGUUUUCAAGAUACUAUGAUGACAUUGAAAAAUAUGAGUUUGACCUGCUCAUUUGUGAUGAAGGCCAUCGUUUAAAAAACAGUACCAUUAAAAUAUAUGUGAUGUUAUCAAAGUUGCAAUGCAAGAGACGAAUACUGCUUACAGGAACUCCAGUACAGAAUGACCUUCAAGAGUUUUAUACCCUAGUUAAUUUUGUAAAUCCUGGAGUACUUGGCCCAUUGUCAGAUUUUAGGAAGAUCUAUGAAGCUCCAAUUGUUGCCUCUAGGCAGCCAGAAGCAGGCACUGAAAUCCGUCUGCAUGGUGAACAACGUGCUGCCGAGUUGAACCAUAAAACCAGUUGGUUCAUCCUACGCCGCACACAGGAUCUGAUAGACAAAAUUUUGCCAAUAAAACAUGAACUGGUUCUUUUCUGCUGCCUGUCUCAACUACAGAUCAGUAUGUACAGAGCAGUGAUUGAUUACUGGGACUCACGGAAAGAAAACUUAAUUUCUCUGGAAUCAGUUCCGCACCUCAAUAUUAUUACUUUACUUAAGAAAGUUUGCAAUCAUCCAGUGCUUAUUAAGUCUAGUGUCAUAGAGGAAGAGCUUGAAAUGAAACUGAUGCAUAUGUUGUCAUCCGAAAUACUUGAAACAUGUCCAAGAAACUCUGGAAAGCUUAUUAUUGUCUUACGUCUUCUUCAAUAUUUGAGGCAAACUAAGGAGCGUGUGGUGUUUGUGUCAUACUAUACACAGACAUUAGAUCUAAUGGCACAGCUGUGUGAAAACUAUGGCUACAAAUAUUGUCGAUUGGAUGGAUCUACAGCUUGUAGUCAGCGUCAGACAGUUGUUGACAAUUUCAAUAGCGCAUCUUCAAAAUACUUGCUCGUGCUGGUGGAAUUGGUCUCAAUCUUACGGGCGCAUCACGUCUUAUUCUCUUCGAUUCGGACUGGAAUCCAGCCACGGACCUACAGGCAAUGUCACGAAUUUGGAGAGAUGGUCAAUCAAAACCUGUGUUUAUUUAUAGGCUGCUUUCCGUGGGUACAAUAGAAGAAAAAAUCUUCCAACGCCAAAUAAGCAAGACUGAUCUAAGUGGUACAGUUGUAGAUCCACAGAACAAUAGUACCAUUCGCCUGUCUAAAGAAGAACUUAAGGACCUACUGUCAUAUGAUGAAAAUGAAAUCUGUCUCACUCAUAAGUUAUUGGAAUGUACAUGUGACAUAAAUGGCCAACCACGUGAGCAAUUUGAGACCUGCAGAUCUGAAGUAGACAAUAGACCAUCACAGCUGGG